rnacentral:rRNA from 1 species
GACAGAGGUUGCAAACGUUGUUUGGAAUUACUGGGCAUAAAGCGCACGUAGGCGGUUCGUUAAGUCAUGUGUGAAAUCCCUCGGCUCAACCGAGGAAUUGCGCCUGAUACUGGCGGGCUAGAGAUCGAUAGGGGUGAGUGGAACUCCAGGUGGAGCGGUGAAAUGCGUAGAUAUCUGGAGGAACACCGGUGGCGAAAGCGGCUCACUGGAUCGAUACUGACGCUGAGGUGCGAAAGCUAGGGUAGGCAAACGGG